UGGUCCAAGGUUUCUUCCACCCCAACACAACGAGGACAAAACGGAGAGCAAUUAACCCCUUUGUUCCACAAACGUGUCCGAGUUGGGACAAUAUUACGAGGAACUCUCCACAUAAAAUGACCUUGUCUUGGCAGAACCUGUAAGUUCCAUAAUUUCUUCCAACCGCUGUCCACAGUAGCUGUAGAAGCUCCCUCAGCUUCAUGUCUCCCCCAGGCUCGGAUACAAUGGUAGGCAGACUUAACCGAGAAUUGGCCAUUAGAAGCAUCAGCCCAUAUCAACUUGUCCUCCGGUUGUACGUUCAGCACAGGUAUUUGGAGCACCUGACUCGCUUCAAAAGGGAGAAAACAGUGUAGCACACGUUCCCUAUCCCACUCAUUCCUAUCCCGAUCAAGCAGUUCAAACACAUGCGUAAACUCACACCUGUGCGGCCUACGAGACCAUACCUUGUGCCCAUGCUGAAGAGGAAGCCAAUUAUCAUCCCAAAUAC
rnacentral:lncRNA from 1 species